UUUCAAGAUUAAGCCAUGCAUGUCUAAGUAUAAGCAAUUAUACCGCGAAACUGCGAAUGGCUCAUUAAAUCAGUUAUCGUUUAUUUGAUAGUACCUUACUACUUGGAUAACCGUGGUAAUUCUAGAGCUAAUACAUGCUAAAAAUCCCGACUUCGGAAGGGAUGUAUUUAUUAGAUUAAAAACCAAUGCCCUUCGGGGCUCACUGGUGAUUCAUAAUAACUUUUCGAAUCGCAUGGCCUUGCGCCGGCGAUGGUUCAUUCAAAUUUCUGCCCUAUCAACUUUCGACGGCUGGGUCUUGGCCAGCCAUGGUGACAACGGGUAACGGAGGGUUAGGGCUCGACCCCGGAGAAGGAGCCUGAGAGACGGCUACUACAUCCAAGGAAGGCAGCAGGCGCGCAAAUUACCCAAUCCCGACACGGGGAGGUAGUGACAAUAAAUACUGAUACAGGGCUCUUUAGGGUCUUGUAAUUGGAAUGAGUACAAUUUAAAUCCCUUAACGAGGAACAAUUGGAGGGCAAGUCUGGUGCCAGCAGCCGCGGUAAUUCCAGCUCCAAUAGCGUAUAUUAAAGUUGUUGCAGUUAAAAAGCUCGUAGUUGAACCUUGGGCCUGGCUGGCCGGUCCGCCUCACCGCGUGCACUGGUCCGGCCGGGUCUUUCCCUCUGGGGAACCGCAUGCCCUUCACUGGGUGUGCUGGGGAACCAGGACUUUUACUUUGAAAAAAUUAGAGUGUUCAAAGCAGGCCUAUGCUCGAAUACAUUAGCAUGGAAUAAUAGAAUAGGACGUGUGGUUCUAUUUUGUUGGUUUCUAGGACCGCCGUAAUGAUUAAUAGGGACAGUCGGGGGCAUCAGUAUUCAAUUGUCAGAGGUGAAAUUCUUGGAUUUAUUGAAGACUAACUACUGCGAAAGCAUUUGCCAAGGAUGUUUUCAUUAAUCAGGAACGAAAGUUAGGGGAUCGAAGACGAUCAGAUACCGUCGUAGUCUUAACCAUAAACUAUGCCGACUAGGGAUCGGACGAAGUUAUUUUUUGACUCGUUCGGCACCUUACACGAAAGUAUAAGUUUCUGGGUUCUGGGGGGAGUAUGGUCGCAAGGCUGAAUAG
rnacentral:rRNA from 1 species